GAUGAACGCUAGCGGGAGGCCUAACACAUGCAAGCCGAGCGGUAUUGUUUCUUCGGAAAUGAGAGAGCGGCGUACGGGUGCGGAACACGUGUGCAACCUGCCUUUAUCUGGGGGAUAGCCUUUCGAAAGGAAGAUUAAUACUCCAUAAUAUAUUGAACGGCAUCGUUUAAUAUUGAAAGCUCCGGCGGAUAGAGAUGGGCACGCGCAAGAUUAGCUAGUUGGUGAGGUAACGGCUCACCAAGGCGAUGAUCUUUAGGGGGCCUGAGAGGGUGAUCCCCCACACUGGUACUGAGACACGGACCAGACUCCUACGGGAGGCAGCAGUGAGGAAUAUUGGUCAAUGGGUGCAAGCCUGAACCAGCCAUCCCGCGUGAAGGACGACUGCCCUAUGGGUUGUAAACUUCUUUUGUAUAGGGAUAAACCUACUCUCGUGAGGGUAGCUGAAGGUACUAUACGAAUAAGCACCGGCUAACUCCGUGCCAGCAGCCGCAGUAAGAC
rnacentral:rRNA from 1 species